rnacentral:rRNA from 1 species
AUACGGAGGGUGCAAGCGUUACUCGGAAUCACUGGGCGUAAAGCGCGCGCAGGCGGGCUGAUAAGUUGGAUGUGAAAGCCUACGGCUCAACCGUAGAACUGCAUCCAAAACUGUCAGUCUAGAGUCUGGGAGGGGAAGAUGGAGUUAGUUGUGUAGGGGUAAAAUCCGUAGAGAUAACUAGGAAUACCAAAAGCGAAGGCGAUCUUCUGGAACAGUACUGACGCUGAGGCGCGAAAGCGUGGGGAGCAAACAGGAUUAGAAACCCCUGUAGUCC